CGCCAGUCUGUAUAUACGCUUCAACUCCUGAAAUGCUAUCAGCUGCCAAUAGCACAGGCCCGGGGGGGACGCCAGCAACACGGAGGACAGGGGGAGAAGAGAGGAAGCAAACAAGAAAGGACCGGAGACAAAGUUUGUGUUAGCGAAUUAGCGUAGAAUUAAGUAGAUUAAAUGAUGGAAACCUCUGUGCCACGUGUCGGUGCCAGAGACCAAAAAGUGAUGGAGGCAGACUCGCUUUGUACUUCAUGAUCAAAACCGUCGAGUAUGUGACGGAGUCCUGCCUCAGGGCGCAGCCCGAGGAGGUGACAUGUGAAGUCGUCUCAACCAGAAAAGGGUCAGCGAUGGUCUUAAUAAUUUUGACUGGCAAUUGAAAUAAAGUCUUUCAAAAUGUCAGCACAAAGGAACAUGCUAUACAUCUGUACGUUUUUUUUGCGGAAAAAAGUUUCAAUAACCACAAAUUUGAUAUUGUAUGUUUUUCUUGUUCUUUUUUGAUUUGUAGUUGGUCAGACCAAACGAGAUGCAGAGAUGAGGAAAUGUUUUGUAUUAACCAUGUUGUUGUUUUGACAAUCCGUGAAUGUUGAAAUCACUCAAUGGAUCCUGUAAUACCACAUGUUGGAAAAGUCAAUGGACCCAAUGGAUGUUUCGGUUUCUUUCGAAACACAUUACAUUUUUUUAUACAGAAUCAACACAUAGUGACUUGUGGUUGUUGUCAGAUUGGACCUGAUUUUGUUGAACAUCCAGUGACUCCGAAUCACAAAUACUCUGGGAAAUAAACUACUGACCGUAGAAUACUGUAAAGUGUGUUUUCUUUGAUAAAAAGCCAAAUAGACGUGAACUCAAACUGACUACACCGAACCCAUGGACUCAAAAAUACCCACUAUGCAAAUACAAUAUAGUACAUACAACCAGCCAUCUUUAUUUGUAGUUCUCUUCAUUUUCUGAGGCCAGAAGGAGGUGUUUCACACGAUGCUGCCAGCCUUGGAGGAGCAGACUUAUCAAAGACGUAGGUGGCCAACAAUGUCUUGACCAGCUGGAGAGGAGCGGAGACCAGGCAGACAGGACCAAGAGGGGUGGGGAGGGAGAGACAUGUUCAGAAAUAGGAAAAAAGAGCAGACAUUAAAU
ensembl:lncRNA